UCACCCACCAUAAGAGACUGACUUAAAAUUUGAGACUGAGUUUUUGGUAAUGCUGACCUCGGUCGAGGAGCAGGGAUCCAAAGAUCAUUCCAUACGGAUAUCGAUUGCCCGGUUCCUACUCUUUUGAUUAGCCCUUUUUUAACCAGAGGCCUAGCUGAACAAAUACUUUUAAUUGCUGUAAUUAAUUAAAUAUCAUUCACUAUACCUUUUGUACAUUUAAAUGCAAAAUCCAAAACCUACUAGUAAACGAUACCGAACUAAUUAAUAAUGCAUCAAAUUGUCAACUUGGCAAUAUAUGAACUCAUUUUGCUGAUCAAAAUCAAUGUUUUUAAGUCUUUGAGAUAUGGCAAGGGGACUUAAUUACUUUUUAUAAAUUAAAAUUCCCAUUUCUAAAAGUAUCGUUUUGCUGAUCAAAAUCAAUGUUUUUAAGUCUUUGAGAUAUGGCAAGGGGACUUAAUUACUUUUAUAAUUUAAAAUUCCCAUUUCUAAAAGUAAUCUACUCAAACA
rnacentral:lncRNA from 1 species